UUGCUAGGGCCGGGAGCAAAAGUGUAGCCAUUGGUUGGAGGCCCUAGCAGGAUUCGACGUUCCCUCUUCAGAGAAGUGCGUGGGAGCGAAGAAAUGGCGCUGUGAGGGUUUCACAUCUGAAAUCUCUGAUCUGUGAAACAAACCCUGGAAAUAGACUUUGAGAUGAUCCUACUGGACACAUUUGUCAAACAGAUGAAGAACUAGGGGCCGUUACAGAUCAUGUAAAAGACUGUUCAAAUUUAAGAUUUGAGUUUUACUUGGCUGGUUUGAUUUUAUAUUUCCAUCUCUUUUUACUUAGGCUGAAAAUCUUGGUUCCAAUGAUAAUAACAUAACAAUCAGUACUUAGAGCUCUAUGUUACUUUC